GCGAGCGGCCGCCUCCUCUCAAACAAUUGCUCUCAUGCAACACGACUCAGCUACUAAAUGCUCUGAAAGCCCAUAAAGGGACUUUAGCCAAGUGUCCACAGCAGUAUGGCAGAGCAAAAUCACGGGUCCUUCCUCUUGUGUCACCAGUCUGACGUCAUCCUUGAUUCCUGAUUGUUUCCACCUGUUCCACCAUCACUCACACGUCCUAUUUAAGCUCACUUCUCCGUUUGUCCUUUGCCAGAUCGUCUCGUCUAUCGUGCCUUCUAGCGUCCAUGUCCAUGUCCUUGAUUCCCUCCUUGCCUUGCUCCUGUUUUUCGUGUUCAUAUUUUUUGAUUAUAGCAGUUAUUUUUUGCUGAAAUUUUGAGUUAACUUUUUCCUCCUUCGAGCGUCCUUAGUUUUCCUUCGUCGACCUAAUUGGUGAGUUUUUUUUUAAUAUUCCAAAUUUCGUUUGAUUUCCUCAUU